UCAGUUUUAUUUACAAAACACUUUAAAAAAAAUUAUCAAAACAUGUUCAAAGGUAAUUUUUCAGUCUCGAGAGCAGCUUUAACUUUUUAAAAUCCAGCCAAACGGGCCUUUAUAUAGGAAUAGUAAAGCCAGGAGGCAAUACAGGAAAACCAAAUAUUUAUUCAGCUGGAUAAAUAAGUAAAAGACUUGCAACUAAAAUAGACCUACAAAAUAGAAAAGCGUGAAUAAGCUGUAACAAUUCACACUCCCAAGUUCAUAUACCUUGCAUCAGCACAAAUAGUAAAUCUUACAGCCACCCAAAGGCAAGACUCCAAAUAACUCAAUCAUUAACAUCUCCAAUCUAAAUCACCAAUGUCGUGGAACAAAUAUAAAAUAUAGCGAGCAUCUGCACAUGUAUCUUCAAUAAUUGUCGCUGGAGGUCGUCUGUCGUCUUUCCUUUACACCCUGUAACGUAGCACUUUUUUCGUUAUGAUGGAACAAUAUGGAAGAACAAUUUGAAGUAACAAAAUGAUAGAACAAUUUUUCGUUAAGACAGCUUUAAGACGCACGAACAAUACAUUAUGU
rnacentral:lncRNA from 1 species